rnacentral:rRNA from 1 species
CCCUUAGAUGUCCUGGGCCGCACGCGCGCUACACUGAUGCAUUCAACGAGUUUUACCUUGGCCGAGAGGCCUGGGCAAUCUUUUAAACCUGCAUCGUGAUAGGGAUAGAUUAUUGCAAUUAUUAAUCUUGAACGAGGAAUUCCUAGUAAACGCAAAUCAUCAAUUUGCAUUGAUUACGUCCCCGCCCUUUGUACACACCGCCCGUCGCACCUACCGAUUGAAUGGUCCGGUGAAGCCUCGGGAUUGUGGCCAGUUCACUUUAUUGGGAGUUGGCUGUGAGAACUUGUCUAAACCUUAUCAUUUAGAGGAAGGUGAAGUCGUAACA